rnacentral:rRNA from 1 species
GACGAACGCUGGCGGCGUGCUUAACACAUGCAAGUCGAACGGAAAGGCCCUGCUUGCAGGGUGCUCGAGUGGCGAACGGGUGAGUAACACGUGGGUGAUCUGCCCCUUACUUUGGGAUAAGCCUGGGAAACUGGGUCUAAUACUGGAUAGGACCAUGCUGUAGGUGGUGUGGUGGAAAGAUUAGUUUCGGUAAGGGAUGAGCUCGCGGCCUAUCAGCUUGUUGGUGGGGUAAUGGCCUACCAAGGCGUCGACGGGUAGCCGGCCUGAGAGGGUGGACGGCCACAUUGGGACUGAGAUACGGCCCAGACUCCUACGGGAGGGAGAAGUGGGGAAUAUUGCACACUGGGCGCAAGCCUGAUGCAGCGACGCCGCGUGGGGGAUGACGGCCUUCGGGUUGUAAACACCUUUCUGCCAUGACGAAGCCCUUGUGGUGACGGUAGUGGUAGAAGAGACACCGGCUAACUACGU